GUGCUCGCUUCAGCAGCACAUAUACUAAAAUUGGAAUGAUACAGAGAAGAUUAGCAUAGCCCCUGCACAAAAUUGGAACUCUGAUACUGUAUAGAGGUGCUAGAACAA